UGCCAGCCGCCGCGGUAAUACGGAAGGUGCGAGCGUUAAUCGGAAUUACUGGGCGUAAAGCGCACGUAGGUGGCUUGGUAAGUCGGAUGUGAAAGCCCUGGGCUCAACCUGGGAACUGCAUUCGAUACUGCCUCGCUAGAGUAUGGUAGAGGGUAGUGGAAUUCCGAGUGUAGGGGUGAAAUCCGUAGGUAUUCGGAGGAACACCAGUGGCGAAGGCGGCUUUCUGGACCGAUACUGACGCUGAGACGCGAAAGCGUGGGGAGCAAACAGGAUUAGAUA
rnacentral:rRNA from 1 species